rnacentral:rRNA from 1 species
GACGAACGCUGGCGGCGUGCUUAACACAUGCAAGUCGAACGGAAAGGCCCCUUCGGGGGUACUCGAGUGGCGAACGGGUGCGUAACACGUGAGUAACCUGCCCUUGACUUCGGGAUAACUUCAGGAAACUGGGGCUAAUACCGGAUAGGAAUCCUUGCUGCAUGGUGGGGGUUGGAAAGCUUCGGCGGUUUUGGAUGGACUCGCGGCUUAUCAGCUUGUUGGUGGGGUAGUGGCUUACCAAGGCUUUGACGGGUAGCCGGCCUGAGAGGGCGACCGGCCACAUUGGGACCUACAUACGGCCCAGACUCCUACGGGAGGCAGCAGUGGGGAAUAUUGCACAAUGGGCGGAAGCCUGAUGCAGCAACGCCGCGUGCGGGAUGACGGCCUUCGGGUUGUAAACCGCUUUCAGCAGGGGCGAAGCUUGUGGUGACGGUACCUGCAGAAGAAGCACCGGCUAACUACGUG